GAUGAACGCUAGCUACAGGCUUAACACAUGCAAGUCGAGGGGUAGCAGGGUAGCAAUACCGCUGACGACCGGCGCACGGGUGAGUAACACGUAUCCAACCUUCCCAUAACUCGGGGAUAGCCUUUCGAAAGAAAGAUUAAUACAGGAUGGCACUUUUUCAAGGCAUCUCGAGAUAGUUAAAGAUUUACUGGUUAUGGAUGGGGAUGCGUUCCAUUAGAUAGGUGGUUAGGUAAGGGCUCACCAAGUCUUCGAUGGAUAGGGGUUCGGGGAGGAAGGUCCCCCACAUUGGUACUGAGACACGGACCAAACUCCUACGGGAGGCAGCAGUGAGGAAUAUUGGUCAAUGGGCGAGAGCCUGAACCAGCCAAGUAGCGUGAAGGAUGAAGGUCCUAUGGAUUGUAAACUUCUUUUAUAGUAGAAUAAAGUGAUCCACGUGUGGAUUUUUGUAUGUAUACUAUGAAUAAGGAUCGGCUAACUCCGUGCCAGCCGCCGCCGUAA
rnacentral:rRNA from 1 species